rnacentral:rRNA from 1 species
CAGUAGCCGCGGGAAUACAGAGGGUGCAAGCGUUAAUCGGAAUUACUGGGCGUAAAGCGCGCGUAGGUGGUUUGUUAAGUUGGAUGUGAAAGCCCCGGGCUUAACCUGGGAACUGCAUCCAAAACUGGCAAGCUAGAGUACGGUAGAGGGUGGUGGAAUUUCCUGUGUAGCGGUGAAAUGCGUAGAUAUAGGAAGGAACACCAGUGGCGAAGGCGACCACCUGGACUGAUACUGACACUGAGGUGCGAAAGCGUGGGGAGCAAACAGGAUUAGAUACCCCCGUAGUCCCUGUCUCUUAUAC